GAACGCUAGCGGCAGGCUUAACACAUGCAAGUCGAGGGGCAGCAUGAGACGGAGAUUCGUCAAAGUCUUGAUGGCGACCGGCGCAAGGGUGCGUAACGCGUGAGCAACUUGCCCGUUUCUGGGGAAUAACCGGUGGAAACGCCGACUAAUACCCCAUAGUAUUGAGUUUAGGCAGCUUUACUCAAUUAAAGAAUUUCGGAAACGGAUAGGCUCGCGUGACAUUAGCUAGAUGGCGGGGUAACGGCCCACCAUGGCGACGAUGUCUAGGGGUUCUGAGAGGAAGGUCCCCCACACUGGAACUGAGGCACGGUCCAGACUCCUACGGGAGGCAGCAGUGAGGAAUAUUGGUCAAUGGUCUGACGACUGAACCAGCCAUGCCGCGUGAAGGUGACGGCCCUAUGGGUCUUAAACUUCUUUUGUAAGGGAGCAAUAAGUCUCACGUGUGGGAUGAUGAGAGUACCUUACGAAUAAGCAUCGGCUAACUCCGUG
rnacentral:rRNA from 1 species